AGGACGAACGCUGGCGGCGUGCUUAACACAUGCAAGUCGAGCGGAAAGGCCCUUCGGGGUACUCGAGCGGCGAACGGGUGAGUAACACGUGAGCAACCUGCCCUUGGCUCUGGGAUAGCCUCCGGAAACGGGGAUUAAUACCGGACAUUCACUUUCUCCUGCAUGGGGGGUUGGUGGAAAGUUUUUCGGCCAGGGAGGGGCUCGCGGCCUAUCAGCUUGUUGGCGGGGUAACGGCCCACCAAGGCGACGACGGGUAGCCGGCCUGAGAGGGCGAUCGGCCACACUGGGACUGAGACACGGCCCAGACUCCUACGGGAGGCAGCAGUGGGGAAUAUUGCACAAUGGGCGCAAGCCUGAUGCAGCGACGCCGCGUGGGGGAUGAAGGCCUUCGGGUUGUAAACCCCUUUCACCAGGAGCGAAUUCAGACGGUACCUGGGAAGAGCGCCGGCUAACUACGCGCCAGCAGCCGC
rnacentral:rRNA from 1 species